UCAGAAAUUUUUUGGGCUUUU
rnacentral:piRNA from 1 species